UACGAAGGGGGCUAGCGUUGUUCGGAAUUACUGGGCGUAAAGCGCGCGCAGGCGGUUCUUUAAGUCAGGGGUGAAAGCCCAGAGCUCAACUCUGGAAUUGCCUUUGAAACUAGAGAACUUGGGUACGGGAGAGGUGAGUGGAAUUCCGAGUGUAGAGGUGAAAUUCGUAGAUAUUCGCAAGAACACCAGUGGCGAAGGCGGCUCACUGGCCCGGUACUGACGCUGAGGCACGAAAGCGUGGGGAGCAAACAGG
rnacentral:rRNA from 1 species